GACGAACGCUGGCGGCGCGCUUAACACAUGCAAGUCGAGCGAGAACCAGGGCUUCGGCCCUGGGGACAGCGGCGAACGGGUGAGUAACACGUGGAUAACCUGCCCUCGGCACCGGGAUAGCCCGGGGAAACCCGGAUUAAUACCGGAUGGCCCUUCCGGCUCUCGAGCCGGUCGGAAAAGGUAGCUUCGGCCUCCGGCCGAGGAUGGGUCCGCGGCGGAUUAGCUUGUUGGCGGGGUAACGGCCCACCAAGGCGACGAUCCGUAGCUGGUCUGAGAGGACGAUCAGCCACACUGGGACUGAGACACGGCCCAGACUCCUACGGGAGGCAGCAGUGGGGAAUCUUGCGCAAUGGGCGAAAGCCUGACGCAGCGACGCCGCGUGAGGGAAGAAGGCCUUCGGGUUGUAAACCUCUUUCAGGAGGGACGAAGCUACUCGGGUGAAUAGCCCAGAGGGUGACGGUACCUCCAGAAGAAGCCCCGGCUAACUACGUGCCAGCCGCCGCAGUAACAC
rnacentral:rRNA from 1 species